rnacentral:antisense_RNA from 1 species
AGCGUUGCGGUCCGGACAGAGCAAAAAAAACAAGGCAUCAGUAUUGUUGAGUAUAAGCUUGUACCUGGUUCGGAGGCUAAGUUUGCCGGAGAAGGCAGGGGUGAGCCAUGGUGGCUGCCUGGCUGUGCACCGGCGCCGGAGUUUGGACCAAGACAAAGACAGGAGCUGUCCGCGGUGCUGAAUCGGCGGCGCUGUCGCUGGGGCAAGAGGGCUUCUGUAACCAGCUCUCUGCUCAUUUACUCUCCAUCCUUCUAGCUCCCCUUCGCUCUGUGACUCUUGCCUUCCCCUGAAUUUAUUUCCCUUUCGGGGGGCUCAUCUUAGAACCUGCGCCCUGUACACAGGUGUAUAUACAUAUAUCAAAGAACAAAACGAUUGAUUGAAAACGGUGUCUUCUCCUUUCUUCCCAAAUAAAUGAUGUUAGAAAGGUUUAUUUUAACUGUACUCUAAAACGGAGAGAAAUGGAUAUUUCUACUCCUAAAUAAAUGGAAAUUCAUGUUAAAAACAAUAGAGCUAACCUAUAAC